UGCGCAUCAUUCAGUAAUAUCUGUGAGUCAGAUUGCCUAUUUUCUUCCUCGGGGAUAGUGAAGCCAUGACCCACCCUCCUCUGCCUCUAAUUGGCUGGUACUCGCUGCUUUCACUGAUUAGAUUGGUUAACUUUAGGCAUGAGGACUGAUGAGCCAAUCAGAGGCAGAGUAGGGCGGGUCAUGCCGAGGAAAAUAUCGCUAAUACCUCAGGUGCCAGUGAAAAAAAAAAAAAAACUCAGGUGCCGGUGCCACUUGACUACGAUAACGGCAGCAGACCAAACAACGGAUGAAGAAAGGACACAAGCGGCGGUGUGCCACCCCAGUUGAUGGAAGACAUCAUUCUGAGACAUCAAUAAUGACUGGCCAGACCUGUGGAGUGCUAAACAAACAGAAGACUUCAAAUCCAAGAACCCCUGGUUGGGAUCCAAAAACAAAAAAUUGGGAUGUCUGGUCUGUAGCAGUGUGAACUCCAUUGGGAUCGACAAGGAGCAAGGACAAGGUGUAUCGCUCUCAAGAGAAUGGAUGAACUUUGAAAUUCAAGUGUCUGGCCAGGGAAGUAGAACAACAAGUUUGUCAAUCUUGAGAAAUAAGGUGAGGAAACAUGCGUUGUCCAAGGCCCACACUCAGGCUGUGAAGGUGGCAGAGCAACAGAAAGAAGCUGCCAUUGAGAAUGCAGUGGAGACUAUGACUGAGUCCUACAUGAAGGAAACUGAAGCUGUGUUUCGAACAGCCUACCAUCUGGCCAAAAAGAACCGACCCUUUUCUGACCAUGAGAGCCUCAUUGAGCUGCAGGAACUGAAUGGUGUAAAAAUGGGCUCAAUACUUCAUUCACGUUACAGUGCAACACAAAUAAUACAACAUGUUGCUAGUGAGAUGCAGAGCAAAAUCAUCAGUAGCAUUAUAGCAUCAUCCAGUAAGUUAGCUGUCCUAAUUGACGAGGCAUCUUCUUUAAGUCACAAAGCUGUCAUGACAGUUUCUAUUAAAGCAUCAAUUCAA